rnacentral:rRNA from 1 species
UGUUCGAAAGGGAAACAGCCCAGACCACCAGCUAAGGUCCCAAAAUAUAUGUUAAGUGGAAAAGGAUGUGGCGUUGCCCAGACAACUAGGAUGUUGGCUUAGAAGCAGCCAUCAUUUAAAGAGUGCGUAAUAGCUCACUAGUCGAGUGACACUGCGCCGAAAAUGUACCGGGGCUAAACAUAUUACCGAAGCUGUGGAUUGUCCUUUGGACAAUGGUAGGAGAGCGUUCUAAGGGCGUUGAAGCAUGAUCGUAAGGACAUGUGGAGCGCUUAGAAGUGAGAAUGCCGGUGUGAGUAGCGAAAGACGGGUGAGAAUCCCGUCCACCGAUUGACUAAGGUUUCCAGAGGAAGGCUCGUCCGCUCUGGGUUAGUCGGGUCCUAAGCUGAGGCCGACAGGCGUAGGCGAUGGAUAACAGGUUGAUAUUCCUGUACCACCUAUAAUCGUUUUAAUCGAUGGGGGGACGCAGUAGGAUAGGCGAAGCGUGCGAUUGGAUUGCACGUCUAAGCAGUAAGGCUGAGUAUUAGGCAAAUCCGGUACUCGUUAAGGCUGAGCUGUGAUGGGGAGAAGACAUUGAGUCUUCGAGUCGUUGAUUUCACACUGCCGAGAAAAGCCUCUAGAUAGAAAAUAGGUGCCCGUACCGCAAACCGACACAGGUAGUCAAGAUGAGAAUUCUAAGGUGAGCGAGCGAACUCUCGUUAAGGAACUCGGCAAAAUGACCCCGUAACUUCGGGAGAAGGGGUGCUCUUUAGGGUUAACGCCCAGAAGAGCCGCAGUGAAUAGGCCCAAGCGACUGUUUAUCAAAAACACAGGUCUCUGCUAAACCGUAAGGUGAUGUAUAGGGGCUGACGCCUGCCCGGUGCUGGAAGGUUAAGAGGAGUGGUUAGCUUCUGCGAAGCUACGAAUCGAAGCCCCAGUAAACGGCGGCCGUAACUAUAACGGUCCUAAGGUAGCGAAAUUCCUUGUCGGGUAAGUUCCGACCCGCACGAAAGGCGUAACGAUUUGGGCACUGUCUCAACGAGAGACUCGGUGAAAUCAUAGUACCUGUGAAGAUGCAGGUUACCCGCGACAGGACGGAAAGACCCCGUGGAGCUUUACUGUAGCCUGAUAUUGAAAUUCGGCACAGCUUGUACAGGAUAGGUAGGAGCCUUUGAAACGUGAGCGCUAGCUUACGUGGAGGCGCUGGUGGGAUACUACCCUAGCUGUGUUGGCUUUCUAACCCGCACCACUUAUCGUGGUGGGAGACAGUGUCAGGCGGGCAGUUUGACUGGGGCGGUCGCCUCCUAAAAGGUAACGGAGGCGCUCAAAGGUUCCCUCAGAAUGGUUGGAAAUCAUUCAUAGAGUGUAAAGGCAUAAGGGAGCUUGACUGCGAGACCUACAAGUCGAGCAGGGUCGAAAGACGGACUUAGUGAUCCGGUGGUUCCGCAUGGAAGGGCCAUCGCUCAACGGAUAAAAGCUACCCCGGGGAUAACAGGCUUAUCUCCCCCAAGAGUUCACAUCGACGGGGAGGUUUGGCACCUCGAUGUCGGCUCAUCGCAUCCUGGGGCUGUAGUCGGUCCCAAGGGUUGGGCUGUUCGCCCAUUAAAGCGGUACGCGAGCUGGGUUCAGAACGUCGUGAGACAGUUCGGUCCCUAUCCGUCGUGGGCGUAGGAAAUUUGAGAGGAGCUGUCCUUAGUACGAGAGGACCGGGAUGGACAUACCUCUGGUGUACCAGUUGUCGUGCCAACGGCAUAGCUGGGUAGCUAUGUGUGGACGGGAUAAGUGCUGAAAGCAUCUAAGCAUGAAGCCCCCCUCAAGAUGAGAUUUCCCAACUUCGGUUAUAAGAUCCCUCAAAGAUGAUGAGGUUAAUAGGUUCGAGGUGGAAGCAUGGUGACAUGUGGAGCUGACGAAUACUAAUCGAUCGAAGACUUAAUCAA